rnacentral:tRNA from 1 species
UACUAUAAAGUUUAAUACUAAAACAAUAAUUUGUGGAAUUAUAAAUCUCUUAAAUCAA